UACGUAGGGGGCGAGCGUUGUCCGGAUUUAUUGGGCGUAAAGAGCUCGUAGGCGGUUCAGCAAGUCGGACGUGAAAGUUCUGGGCUCAACCCUGAAAUGGCGAUUGAUACUGUUGUGAUUAGGAUACGGAAAAGAUGAGUGAAUUUCCGAGGGAAAGGUGGAAUAUGCGAAAUAUUUCGAAGAGAACACGGAUUGCAAAGGCACCUUAUUGGCUGGUUAUCAACGUUAAAGAGCGAAGGCUGGGGAAGCAAACAGAAUAAAAUACCUGGGAAGCCCUAGCUGUAAACAAUGGAUACUAGAGGUACGAACUGUGUUGACUGUUUCUGUGUCGCAGCUAACGCGUUAGGUAUCCCGGCUGAUUAGUACGGUCGCAAGACUAAUACUCAAAGUAAUUGACGGCCACCCCGCACAAGCGGCCGAGCAUGCGGCUUAAUUCGAUGAUGACCGUAGAACCUUACCUGGACUUGACAUAUACGGUCUAGCUAUCGAGAUAUAGCGUGCAUGAGCGCCCUAUGCAGGUGGUGCAUGGCCGUCGUCAACUCGGGUCGUGAGAUGUUGGGGUAAGUUCCGCAACGAGCGCAACCCCUAUCCUAUGUUGCCAGCAUUUAGUUGGGGCCUCAUAGGAGACUGCCGGUGAUAAACCGGAGGAAGGUGGGGACGACGUCAAGUCAUCAUGCCCCUUAUGUCCAGGGCUGCACGCAUGCUACAAUGGCAAGUACAACAAGUAGCAACACCGCGAGGUGGAGCAAAUCUCAUAAAGCUCGUCUCAGUUCGGAUAGGAGUUUGCAACUCGGCUCCCGGAAAUGGGAGUCGCUUAGUAAUCCGCAAAUCAGCCAAAGCUGCGGUGAAUACGUUCUCGGGGCU
rnacentral:rRNA from 1 species